UGCAACCUGAACUCAGACGUGAUUACCCG
rnacentral:rRNA from 1 species